CCUACGGGAGGCAGCAGUAGGGAAUAUUGCUCAAUGGGGGAAACCCUGAAGCAGCAACGCCGCGUGGAGGAUGAAGGUUUUAGGAUUGUAAACUCCUUUUGUUAGAGGAGUUUAUGACGGUAUGUAACGAAUAAUGACCGGCUAACACCGUUCCAGCAGCCGCGGUAAUACGGAGGGUGCCAGCGUUACUCGGAAUCACUGGGCGUAAAGAGUGCGUAGGCGGGGUAAUAAGUCAGUUGUGAAAUCCUGUAGCUUAACUAUAGAACUGCAGUUGAAACUGUUACUCUGGAGUGUGGGAGAGGUAGGUGGAAUUCUUGGUGUAGGGGUAAAAUCCGUAGAGAUCAAGAGGAAUACUCAUUGCGAAGGCGAUCUGCUGGAACAUUACUGACGCUGAUGCACGAAAGCGUGGGGAGCAAACAGGAUUAGAUACCCGGGUAGUC
rnacentral:rRNA from 1 species